rnacentral:rRNA from 1 species
UACAGAGGUCUCAAGCGUUGUUCGGAUUCAUUGGGCGUAAAGGGUGCGUAGGCGGCGCGGUAAGUCAGACGUGAAAUCCCUCGGCUUAACCGGGGAACUGCGUCUGAUACUGGUUGGCUUGAAUCCGGGAGAGGGAUGUGGAAUUCCAGGUGUAGCGGUGAAAUGCGUAGAUAUCUGGAGGAACACCGGUGGCGAAGGCGGCAUCCUGGACCGGUAUUGACGCUGAGGAGCGAAAGCCAGGGGAGCAAACGGG